rnacentral:lncRNA from 1 species
UAUUAUUGUUUCAACAUAUCUAGUUUCUUGUUAUAUCAUAGAAAUGUUUUGUCAUUGUUCUUCAGGCCUCAGAGGACAUUACAAUGCAGUUCUGCAUACCGAGCCUGCAACCCCACCAGCACGUGCAUACAAAUGAUGAGGAGUGCACAGAUAUGCUUUGCUUGCGAUGUUUUUUUUUUUUUGUGUGUUUGUCUAGGUGAGGUG